rnacentral:tRNA from 1 species
CAGAGCGUGGCUAAGCAAGCACAGCAUCUCCCUUACGCCGAGAAGACAUCCGUGCAAACCGGAUCGCACUG